UUCCUUGUUUAAAAUUCCUGGAGGUGAAACUUUACAAUGGGUCACAGCGCGGUCAAGCGAACAUGAAUCACGACGGAAUGUCAACCAGAAGGUUUCGGUGAGAAAAUUGUGGUAAAAAGUUUCUUCUUACCAGAGAAAAACUGAGCUUGUGCCAUCCAUAGCUGCCAUCGACUCCCCUGAGACACACCCCUCCGACUAUCAGGUACUGUUAAACUCACUAAAACACUAGCAACACAAUAGAAAGAUAAGGGAUUUCCCAGAAUUAUCCUGGUAAAUGUGUCUAAAAACAUCGGAAUCCGUCCCAAUGCAAUCACGUUUUUGUUUUUUUUCUAGUCAGUCGCUAUCAAUAUCCUCAAAAACAAAUCUUUCAUCCUCGCUCAAAUUAAUGGGGAAAUUGACGUUUUCUCGGUCCGAAUAGCACCCAUUAAAAACAAUGUGAAGAUGUGAGGAGCCAUCAACAUGUGACGCCAUCGUCUGCAACUUCCGGCAGAGGCAGGGCUUUUGUCUUAGCACCGAAAGUUGCAAACUUUAUCGUGGAUGUUCUCUACUAAAGCCUUUCAGCAAAAAUAUGGCAAUAUCGGGAAAUGAUCAAGUAUGACACAUAGAAUGGACCUGCUAUCCCUGUUUAAAUACGAAAAUCUCAUUCCAGUAGGCCUUUAAAUCUUUUGAGGAGCCGAAGACAACGUGGUCAAGCACCCUCCCCUCUUGCAUGUGUAGCAGGUAUAUAACUUAUAUUGUAUGCAUUCCACCAAAAAUCCCUCACGUUUUAUUUGAUUUCUCUAUAAUAUCCAUUGUCACUUUUAUUUUGUCAGUUUUUUAGGAAAUAGUUCGUUUUGGGAGAAUUUGUCAUUUUAUUUUGAAAUCCUACCUUCUUCCGGAAGUGACGUUGAGUCCUCACUCGUUGCUGAGACAUGCGUGAGGAAACUGGUUUGCUGCUGAGUCCUGUGUUAACGCUGCCGCACUGUUUCCUGUAUAUUUCAUACAGGUAUGUUUCUGUUGCUCCCAAAACUUUAUUCUAUUUUUCUGUACUGUUAUAUUUAUUAUUUAUUUUCCUAUUGUAUAAAUCAUUUCACGGUGGUGUAUUCAUUUGCAGUGUAUUUGUAAAUGUGAUGUAUAGGUUUUGUGAUAAAUGUGAAUGUUUCAUAUAACAUUUUUGUUCAUUUAAACUGACUCGUUGCUGAGACAUGCGUGAGGAAACUGGUUUGCUGCUGAGUCCUGUGUUAACGCUGCCGCACUGUUUCCUGUAUAUUUCAUACAGGUAAAAAUAAAUACGCCACCUGUUUCGGCUGAAGGCAA